UUAAUAUUUUUUAUACGUACGUAAAGCCGUAUAUCGCCCAAAAUUUGACGUGUCCCAUAAGGGCAAACGAAGUCUUGAAACUGGAAAAUUUUGAAUUUGAUAUAAAUUAAUUUCGAAACCGUUUUCCCAUCGAAACGGGAGAGUAUGCUGUGCAUACGAGUUUGUAUAGCCGCAAGAAACUAUUUCUGCUUAUGAAAACUACGUUGGAGUACUCCAACUAUAGAGAAAACUAAGGAAUGUCAAAAUCUGGAAUAAAAAAACAGAUGUAGUACGCUGUAAGCUUUCGCCCUCUAGCAGAACAAAAAUAUAUCACAAUAUGCUGAAAAAUUAGUUCCGUAUCCAAAAGUAA